CCUACGGGAGGCAGCAGUGGGGAAUUUUGGACAAUGGGCGAAAGCCUGAUCCAGCAAUGCCGCGUGAGUGAAGAAGGCCUUCGGGUUGUAAAGCUCUUUUGUCAGGGAAGAAACGGUGAGAGCUAAUAUCUUUUGCUAAUGACGGUACCUGAAGAAUAAGCACCGGCUAACUACGUGCCAGCAGCCGCGGUAAUACGUAGGGUGCAAGCGUUAAUCGGAAUUACUGGGCGUAAAGCGUGCGCAGGCGGUUUUGUAAGUCUGAUGUGAAAUCCCCGGGCUCAACCUGGGAAUUGCAUUGGAGACUGCAAGGCUAGAAUCUGGCAGAGGGGGGUAGAAUUCCACGUGUAGCAGUGAAAUGCGUAGAUAUGUGGAGGAACACCGAUGGCGAAGGCAGCCCCCUGGGUCAAGAUUGACGCUCAUGCACGAAAGCGUGGGGAGCAAACAGGAUUAGAUACCCUGGUAGUCCACGCCCUAAACGAUGUCUACUAGUUGUCGGGUCUUAAUUGACUUGGUAACGCAGCUAACGCGUGAAGUAGACCGCCUGGGGAGUACGGUCGCAAGNUUAAAACCGUUAAAUGAAUUGACGG
rnacentral:rRNA from 1 species